rnacentral:rRNA from 1 species
UACGAAGGGGGCUAGCGUUGUUCGGAUUUACUGGGCGUAAAGCGCACGUAGGCGGACUAUUAAGUCAGGGGUGAAAUCCCAGAGCUCAACUCUGGAACUGCCUUUGAUACUGGGUAUCUUGAGUAUGGAAGAGGUAAGUGGAAUUGCGAGUGUAGAGGUGAAAUUCGUAGAUAUUCGCAGGAACACCAGUGGCGAAGGCGGCUUACUGGUCCAUAACUGACGCUGAG